rnacentral:rRNA from 1 species
GACGAACGCUGGCGGCGUGCCUAACACAUGCAAGUCGAACGGUAAGGCCCUGUUCUUGUGGCGUCUUCGAGUGCCGAACGGGUGAGUAUCACGUGAGUAACCUGUCCCUGACUUUGGGAUAACUCCAGGAAACUGGGGCUCAUACCGGGCAGGAGCUCUUGAUGCAUGGUGGGGGUUGGUAAGAUUCGGAGGUUGGGGACGGAGUCGCGGCUUAUCAGUUUGUUGGUGGGGUAGUGGCUUACCAAGGCUUCGACGGGUAGCCGGCCUGAGAGGGUGACCGGCCACAUAGGGACUGAGAAACGACCCAGACUCCUACGGGAGGCAGCAGUGGGAGAUAGUGCACGAUGGGCGGAAGCCGGAUGCAGCAACGCCGCGUGCGAGAUGACGGCCUGCGGGGUGUAAACCGCUUUCGCCUGGAACGAAGCGUGAGUGACGGUAAUGGGUAAGAAAGCACCGGCUAACUACGUG